CGCGUAGGCGGUUUCGGAAGUCAUGGGUGAAAGUCCUCGGCUCAACCGAGGGAUUGCCUGUGAAACCACGGGACUGGAGUGCUGGAGAGGGAAGCGGAAUUCCCAGUGUAGCGGUGAAAUGCGUAGAUAUUGGGAGGAACAUCUGUGGCGAAGGCGGCUUCCUGGACAGACACUGACGCUGAGGCGCGAAAGCCAGGGGAGCGAACG
rnacentral:rRNA from 1 species